rnacentral:rRNA from 1 species
AAAACUUUCAACAACGGAUCUCUUGUUUCCUGCAUCGAUGAAGAACUCAGUGAAAUGCCAUAAGUAAUCUGAAUUACAGAAUUCAGUGAAUCAUCAAAUCUUUGAAGGCACUUUGCGCCCGCUGGCAUUCCGGGGGGCAUGCCUGUUUGAGCGUCUC